rnacentral:rRNA from 1 species
AGUGAACGCUGGCGGUAGGCCUAACACAUGCAAGUCGAACGGCAGCACAGUAAGAGCUUGCUCUUACGGGUGGCGAGUGGCGGACGGGUGCGGAAUACAUCGGAAUCUACUUUUUCGUGGGGGAUAACGUAGGGACACUUACGCUAAUACCGCAUACGACCUACGGGUGAAAGCAUGGGAUCUUCGGACCUUGCGCGAUUGAAUGAGCCGAUGUCGGAUUAGCUAGUUGGCGGGGUAAAGGCCCACCAAGGCGACGAUCCGUAGCUGGUCUGAGAGGAUGAUCAGCCACACUGGAACCGAGACACGGUCCAGACUCCUACGGGAGGCAGCAGUGGGGAAUAUUGGACAAUGGGCGCAAGCCUGAUCCAGCCAUACCGCGUGUGUGAAGAAGGCCUUCGGGUUGUAAAGCCCUUUUGUUGGGAAAGAAAAGCAGUAGGUUAAUACCCCGCUGUUCUGACGGUACCCAAAGAAUAAGCACCGGCUAACUUCGUG